CCCCUCGGUCUCCCUCCUGCUCUCGUCGCACCCAUAUCCCUCAGUUUUCCUCUCCCCACUUGGUCUCCCCCGCCGUUCCUUGGUCUCCCCACACCUCAGUCUCCCCCUUUGUCUCUUAGUCCUCCCUUUUCCCCUUGGUCUUCCCAUCGUUGAUACUCAGUGUCCUCAGGGUCUCAGAAUCGGGAAUCUGAGAUACAGACAUUUGAGCAUUCCUUAAACUGCUAUUAUGAUGACAAAACGAAAAUGGAGAACUGGGCAGAUACCUUCCAAAGCUAGGAAACCCAUGUUAUCUAAUACAGCUGUUUAUUUUAUUUUUAUUUUAUUUUUUUAUUUGAGAUGGAGUCUCACUCUGUCACCCAGGCUGGAGUGCAAUGGCGCCAUCUCGGCUCACUGCAGCCUCCACCUCCCAGGUUCCAGUGAUUCUCCUGCCUCUGCCUCCUGAGUAGCUGGGAUUUACAGGCACGCGCAACCAGGGUCCUGCUGAUGAGGCUGUGAGCAAGACCGCCUGUCCUUCGGGUUCUGUGAGACACUGCGCCUACUGGGCCGCUGCCAGCUGCCCACCGUCUGCACCCAGUGCUGCUGCUCAUGCUCCGCCCAGCCACGGCGCCCCCUCUCGAGGCCAUCAGCGGGUUGCCCGCCGCUGACUGUGCCAGGAUGCACAGACCGACAGACCUCAGUGCCCACCACGGGCUGUGGCGGAGCUCCCGCCCCCUGCGCCCUAAUGGUGCUAACCCUCUCCCUACCCAGCGGCAGGCUGGGGACCUCCUCCCCAUCAAAAAAGGUAUUUUUUUAUUCUAACAGUUCGUGUAACAUUUAUGAUUUUACAUAAAUGAGCAUCUACCAUUC